rnacentral:tRNA from 1 species
CAAACUAUAGCUUAUUUUAAAGCUUUUUAGUUACAUUAAUAAGAAAACAUUUAAUUUUUGUUUAGUUUGA